CCUACGGGAGGCAGCAGUAGGGAAUCUUCCACAAUGGACGAAAGUCUGAUGGAGCAACGCCGCGUGAGUGAAGAAGGGUUUCGGCUCGUAAAGCUCUGUUGGUAGUGAAGAAAGAUAGAGGUAGUAACUGGCCUUUAUUUGACGGUAAUUACUUAGAAAGUCACGGCUAACUACGUGCCAGCAGCCGCGGUAAUACGUAGGUGGCAAGCGUUGGCCGGAUUUAUUGGGCGUAAAGCGAGUGCAGGCGGUUCAAUAAGUCUGAUGUGACAGCCUUCGGCUCAACCGGAGAAUUGCAUCAGAAACUGUUGAACUGGAGUGCAGAAGAGGAGAGUGGAACUCCAUGUGUAGCGGUGGAAUGCGUAGAUAUAUGGAAGAACACCAGUGGCGAAGGCGGCUCUCUGGUCUGCAACUGACGCUGAGGCUCGAAAGCAUGGGUAGCGAACAGGAUUAGAUACCCUUGUAGUC
rnacentral:rRNA from 1 species